rnacentral:tRNA from 1 species
GGUUGUGGCUCAGUGAUAGAGCAUUUGCCUAGCAUGUGUGAGGCACUGGGUUCAAUUCUCAGCACCA